AAUACUUUCGCAAGGCACUGUAUGUGUGCUUGUGGUCACUAGAUGUGUAGUUGGGGUCAGAUGAGUGGUCAGAAUUUGUUUGGUUGUGGUCAGUAGUUGUGUGCUUCUGGUCAGCAGUUGUGAUCAGUAGUUGUGUGGUUGUGGUCAGUAGAUGAGUGAUCAGUAGUUGUGUGGUCAGAAUUUGUGUGGUUGUGGUCACUAGAUAUGGUAAGCAGUUUUGUUUUUGCAGUCUGUGGUUGUGGUCAGUUGUUUUGGUCCGUAGUUGUGUGGAUCUAGUCUGUAGUUAUGGUUCAGUUGUUGAAAGGUCAAUAUUUGUGUUGUUGGGGUCUGUAAUUGUGGUUAUUCUCUUCACUCAUAAUGUUUGCUCUCUGUGUCUGAAUAUCCUAGCAAUAUUUUUUUCUAACUUGUUGGGUUAGUGGUCCAAAUGGCUGUUGUAUGGAAAAUAAUUUAUCUGCUGGCUUCUGACAUGAUUUACAGCAGCUAGAAAGAGAGGCGAUUUGUUACUAAAACGGGUCUUAGUUAUAGAUUGGUACACACGAUUUCUUAUCCGAUUUGGAUUUGACAAGCAGAGAAGUAGGGGAAGAUUUCAUACCUUUUAAACAUUUUUCUCUAACUUGUUGCGUUAGUGGUGAAAACUUGGAAGAAGAGGUGGUAAUGCAGUUACUAAAACAGCUGUAGCGUAAGAUCCCUAGUGAAUAUUUUGAUUCCGCGACCAGAUAUGAAUAGCAGAGAAGUAGACGGAUAUUCCAUCUAACUUAAACGGUGUAGGAGGAAUAGAGUGCUAAAGAAAAUCUAAGACGGGGCUCUUGCUUUGGAAGCCCCACAAUUACAGCCGUGUAACAAUGAAUGCUUGUUACAAAUGAGCAGGUUUCCACUAAAUUCACUGACUUAGUGUUUCACUUCUAAUUAUCAUAAUACAAAAUCCCCAUCGAAAUACAGCAAUUUAUAAUAGAGAGAAUUUUUUUGUGUGGGCUACGUCUCAACCCACUGCAUCCUCCUCUGUCGCCCUUCCGUGUCUGCAGGGAAAGGUGGCACAGCUAGAGUGGUGUUUGUCAGACCAUGAGACAUCCCCUAAAAUCGGUCUUCUCAUGAAAACGUCUGUAGCAUCCGAACAGCCUACACACUAUCAUGGAAAGAUGGAGACUCACGUUUUGUUCUAGGACCCCCACAAGUAUCACGGGACAGUACAGCCAAUAUGCCAACUUCUGUCUAGCAUCCAAACAGUUUGGGCUACACUAAUAUGAUCCCUCUAUGGAAAGGUGAGCCUGUAAUGUACAUGUCAGUUGUUUUGCUCUAUGAGCACAAGAAUCACAAAACUAAUCUGUACCAAUUUAAAAAAUGAAUGGAAGUAUGGAGACAGUUUAGCGCCUAAAAUAAGGGUUAAAUACCAAAACCACACAAAAAAGGUUUCCUGAUCUUUCUUAUAACACUCAGAUUUAGGACAGACACCUCAGAACAAACUUAACUGCGAGUCAGGGUCAUUCUUGUAGUGUUAUCCUGUGUGUGUGUUUGUUCAGGUCAGCUGGUUAAAAUGCUGGUGUACACCGAGGUAACUCGGCAUCGGGACUUUAAGUUGUUGGAGGGAAGCUGUGUGUACAGGGAUAGGAAAGUCCACAAAGUCUCUUCAACCGAGGCAGAGGCCUUAGCUUCAGGUAACAAAUAUAACCAAUAUUUGUAACUUACAAAUUCUUUGUUUCAGAUUCAUCAACGGAUUCCCACAUAGCAGUCAAAGUAAACUCAAAUUGAUUAUCUUGAUUUUUAAAUGCAUAAUGUCAUUCAAAGUCUCAUGCCGUGGAUGUAACAUGGUGUGUGUUACAGAUCUGAUGGGGCUGUUUGACAAGCACAGGUUCAGGAAGCUGCUCCUGUUCAUCCUGAACUUUGAGGAGGGCGACCUGCGUACCCACCAGGACAUGGACCCCAACAGGACCAGCAUGAGAGAGUUUUUCCGCCGGUUCAACCUGGGACCAGACAUGGAAUUCCCUGGCCAUGUCUUGGCCCUGUACCGCAGUGACGACUACUUGGACCAGCCGUGCAUCCAGACCAUAAGACGGCUCAAGCUGUAUUCUGAGUUUAUGGCUCGCUAAAACUGCAGUCCCUACCUCUUUCCAUUGUGUGGGCUAGGGUAACUACCCAAGGGCUUUGCCAGGUAAUACACACACACACAUGCAGGCGCUCAAGAAUGCAUUAAUACAUUAACAUCAAGUGUUUUUAUGAUGGUGUUGUAUAUGUCCCCAAAGUAACCUCACUAUUCCUGUAUGUCUCAUGUUAAGUGCAUGGAGGGACCUACAUGUUAAACAGAAAGGUGGAAGAGAUUGUGAUGGACAAGGGCAAAGGGGUAGCAGUGAAAUCUGAAGGAGCAGUGAGUGGUUGGUGAGGUAGAGAGUGGAUAAGAGAGAAAGAGUGUUGAAGAGGGAAUUAAUGGAUGAAUGAAGUGAGAAAUGGUAGUGCAUGAAUUACAGGAAAGUGGGCUGAAUGUCAGUAGGGUAAAUUAGUAGAAGUAGAACCUAAUAUUUCUCUCUAUCAAGCUGUUUCGCUGUAAACAGCUGAUCUAGGCUGGGUUUCUGUACAGUACUUUGAGAUAUCAGCUGAUGUAAGAAGGGCUAUAUAAAUAAAUUUGAUCUCACACCCCAGCUACGUGCUGGGUGAAGAAGGUGGGCCAGGUUACACAGGUCAUCUGUUCACUGAAUCAUCCAAUCAAAUACACCCAUGAUGCCAACUCCUGCCAAAUCAUCAUCCCUCAAGCAAAGUCCACAGGAAAUCAGACAUCUAUGUAUGGUGUGCUACGCUCACAACAUGGCGUCAUCGGGGAUGUAUAUCGCCAUGGUGAGCACCACUGUAGAGACCAGUAACCCAGAGAAGUAAGUGCAGCCUGGGAUGGAACUGCUGGAGCCCAUUCAUCAGAGAUUUGUUUCUGUCAGCAACAUGAUGGUCCCUAUUGACGAUGGAAGGAAAAGUCAGGUAAGGGGCUACCUUCAAUAUAUUGUAUUGUCCAUAACCCCACACCUAGUGACCUAGCCAAGAGGUUCAGAUCUUUUGGUGUUCGAGUCAGGUUUCAGGUCCUGGUCGGGGAUACUCCCUUAAUUCGAUACACGUUAAGGACUUGGAAUAGAGAAGCAUGGGAACACGCUCUCCUGAAACAAAGGGGCUAGUGUAUCGACCUUAAGCCAACACCUAGCAAACUUGUUGAGAGGUUUGGAACUCUUGGCGUAACUGCUAAGGGGUUGACAGUCGCUGGACCUGGGUUCAAGCCCCGGUCGAGGAUACCCACCGAAUUCACUAUAAUAUAUCAAAAUUGUUUCAUUAUUCUAGGCCAUUGAGUUGUACCAGGAUUACAAAUUGUGGAGACUCUGGUGUUGUUUAUUUUGAUCCCAUCUCCCUUGUUCAGAUCUUUGUGUCUCGCUCCUAUGACGCCACGACACACUUUGAGACUGAGUGUGAGGACAUCAGGGAUUUGCAACACAGGAUGAGAAUUCGUCUUUGGUGACUUGUGCAGAAACUGUGAUGAUGGUGACGUGAUGAGGACAAAAGGGCGUUCCUCACAUUUUGAACGUUGGUUCGAUUCCCACUUGGGUCUCCUAUACAAAAAUGUAUGCACACGCUUGGACAAAAGCGUCUGCUAAAUGGCAAAUAUUUCAUUGCGUUUUUCUGAAAUAUAUAUUUUUUUUACCUUUAUUUAACUAGGCAAGUCAGUUAAGAACAAAUUCUUAUUUUCAGUGACGGCCUAGGAACAGUGGGUUGACUGUCUGUUCAGGUGCAGAACGACAGAUUUGUACAUUGUCAGCUUGAGGGUUUGAACUUGCAACCUUCCGGUUACUAGUCCAAAGCUCUAGUCUAACCACUAGGCUACCUUGCCUGUCAUGUGUUUUUUAAGCAGCCCUUUGAUUGACCUUGUGUAUCUCCCAGAAUUCCCUGCUUGACAGCUACUGUAUGUCAUUGUAAAUGUUCCAUUUAUCAUGUGGUAGUUCUACUCUCUUUGAUGGUAUCGAGACAGACUGGAGAGUGGCACGCUAAAUAAUUUCCUGUUGAUUUAAUACCCUGUCUAAUAAACACCACACUUAAUUUGACUGUGGCCUGUGCAUUAUAGAGUAUAGAUUCAAAGUGGAGUCCUAAUUCAACAGCUCAGACACAAGAUGAAUAUGGCAGGGUCUACAGACAAUCAUGGACUACAAAGGGAAAAGCAGCCACUUUGUGGACACCGACGUCUUGCUUCCGGACAAGCUCAACAUGUUCUUCGCUCGCUAUGAGGAUAACACAGUACCACCAAUGCGGCCCGCUACCAAGGACUGUGGGCUCUCCUUCUCCCGUGGCUGACAUUUAAGCGUGUUAACCCUCGCAAGGCUGCCGGCCCAGACGGCAUCCCUAGCUGCGUCCUCAGAGCGUCCGCAGAGCAGCUGGCUGGAGUGUUUACGGACAUAUUCAAUCUCUCACUAUACCAGGCUGAUGUUCCCACUCGCUUUAAGACGUCCACCAUUGUUCCUGUACGCAAGAAAGCAAAGGUAACUGAACUAAAUAACUAUCGCCCAGUAGCACUCACUUCUGUCAUCAUGAAGUGCUUUGAGAGGCUAGUUAAGGAUCAUAUCACCUCUACCUUACCUGUCACCCUAGACCCACUUCAAUUUGCUUACCACCCCAAUAGAUCCAUUGAGGAUGCCAUCGCACUGCACACUACCCUAUCCCAUCUGGACAAGAGGAAUACCUAUGUAAGAAUGUUGUUCAUUGACUAUCAUCAAACUCAAUCAUCAAAUUUGCAGACGACACAACAGUAGUAGGCCUGAUUAUCAACAAUGACAGGAAAGCCUGCAGAGAGGAGGUGCGGGCCCUGGGAGUGUGGUGCCAGGAAAAUAACUUUUCACUUAAUGUUGGCAAAACAAAGGAGCUGAUAGUGGACUGAUCAUCAACAGGAUCGCAGUGGAGCAGGUGGAAAGCUUCAAGUUCUUCGGCGCACACAUCACUGACAAUCUGAAAUGGUCCACCCACACAGACAGUGUGGUGAAGAAGGUGCAACAGAACCUCUUCAACCUCAGGAGGCUGAAGAAAUUUGGAUUGGCAGCUAAAACCCUCACAAACAUUUACAGAUGCACAAUUGAGAGCAUCCUGUUGGGCUGUAUCACUGCCUGGUACGGCAACUGCACCGCCUGCAACUGCAGGGCUCUCCAGAGGGUGGUGCGGUCUGCCCAACGCAUCACUGGGGGCAAACUACCUGCCCUCAAUGACACCUACAUCACCCAAUGUCACAGGAAGGCCAAAAAUAUAAUCAAGGACAACAACCACCCGAGCCACAGCCUGUUCACUCUGCUAUCAUCCAGAAGGCGAGGUCAGUACAAGUGCAUCAAAGCUGGGACCGAGAGACUGAAAAACAGCUUCUAUCUCAAGGCCAUCAGACUGUUAAAUAGCAUUCACUAGGCGGCUUCCACCCGGAUAUUUAACCCUGCACCUUACAGGCUGCUGCUCCAUAUACAUAGACUUGAAAUCAUUGGCCACUUAAAAAUGGAACACUAUUCACUUUAAUGUUGACAUGUUUUUGCUUUACUCAUCUCAUAUGUAUAUACUGUAUUUUAGUCUAAGCCACUCCAACAUUGCUCUUCUUAAUUCCAUUAUUUUACUUUUAGGUUGUGUAUAUUGUUGUGAAUGGUUAGAUAUUACUGCACUGUUGGAGCUAGAAACGUAGGCAUUCCGCGACACCCGCAAUAACGUCUGCUUAACAUGUGUUUGUGAAAAAUAAAAUUUGAUUUAUA